rnacentral:rRNA from 1 species
UACGUAGGGUGCGAGCGUUAAUCGGAAUUACUGGGCGUAAAGCGUGCGCAGGCGGCUAUGCAAGACAGAUGUGAAAUCCCCGGGCUCAACCUGGGAACUGCAUUUGUGACUGCAUAGCUAGAGUACGGUAGAGGGGGAUGGAAUUCCGCGUGUAGCAGUGAAAUGCGGUAGAUAUGUGGAGGAAUACCGAUGGCGAAGGCAGCCCCCUGGG